AACGAACGCUGGCGGUAUGCUUAACACAUGCAAGUCGAACGAGAAAGUCACUUCGGUGGCGAGUAGAGUGGCGCACGGGUGAGUAACACGUAGGUGACCUGCCUCUUAGUGGGGGAUAACUCGGAGAAAUUCGGGCUAAUACCGCAUACGAAGUACAAUUUUGAAAGUAGUACUUGAAAGACUGCCUCUAUACUAUGCAGUUACUAAGAGAUGGGCCUGCGGGACAUUAGCUAGAUGGUGGGGUAACGGCCUACCAUGGCGACGAUGUCUAGCUGGUCUGAGAGGAUGAUCAGCCACACUGGAACUGAGACACGGUCCAG
rnacentral:rRNA from 1 species